rnacentral:misc_RNA from 1 species
GAAAUGCGAUAAGUAGUGUGAAUUGCAGAAUUCAGUGAAUCAUCGAAUCUUUGAACGCACAUUGCGCCCUUUGGUAUUCCUUAGGGCAUGCCUGUUCGAGCGUCAUUUAAACCCUUCAAGCUCAGCUUGGUGUUGGGCGUCUUUGUCCCGCCUCCGCGCGCGGACUCGCCCCAAAUUCAUUGGCAGCGGUCCUUGCCUCCUCUCGCGCAGCACAUUGCGCUUCUCGAGGUGUUGCGGCCCGCGUCCAGAAAGCAAUCGUUACCGUCUUUGACCUCGGAUCAGGUAGGGAUACCCGCUGAACUUAAGC